rnacentral:rRNA from 1 species
UGGGGUAUAUUGGACAAUGGGCGAAAGCCUGAUCCAGCCAUGCCGCGUGUGUGAAGAAGGCCUUAUGGUUGUAAAGCACUUUAAGCGAGGAGGAGGGUACUGGUAUUAAUACUACCAGGUACUGGACGUUACUCGCAGAAUAAGCACCGGCUAACUCUGUGCCAGCAGCCGCGGUAAUACAGAGGGUGCAAGCGUUAAUCGGAAUUACUGGGCGUAAAGCGCGCGUAGGUGGUUCGUUAAGUUGAAUGUGAAAGCCCCGGGCUCAACCUGGGAACUGCAUCCAAAACUGGCGAGCUAGAGUAGGGCAGAGGGUGGUUGAAUUUCCUGUGUAGCGGUGAAAUGCGUAGAUAUAGGAAGGAACACCAGUGGCGAAGGCGACCACCUGGGCUCAUACUGACACUGAGGUGCGAAAGCGUGGGGAGCAAACAGG